GAUGGAGUGCCUGAAUAAAGGGUUAUUUUGAUAGAAUAAAUCAUGUAAUUUAUUUACCUCUAUUA
rnacentral:tRNA from 2 species